AGAGAAAUUUCCCAGAAAAUCUCCAGGGCCGCAUUCAGGUUUUAAAGCACAGAUGCAUGGAACUCAUCAGUGAUCAGAACUCUUCGCAUCCCACCAACAGCCCCUGCUCACUCCUUUCACUUCCCCCUUGGAGCAUCCCCACAGCUCGAAGCUGGCAGACGCUUCCUCCUCCGCUGUCCCCCACCCCACCCCGUCUCCCCACGUGCACGCAAGUCCUGGGAAGACGCCGGAGGGUGACAUGGUGGAGCAUCUGCCCGGGUGCCAGGUGUAGCGCCCGUCUGCACAUAUGCCGUCUCUCUCCUUUCCGUUCUCGAAUUCUGGUGAUGGAAGAAUUCCUUUCCCCUUUUGGCAGAUGAGAAAACUGCUUCCAAGAGGUUUAGAAAUUUGCCCAGAGUCGCUCAGCUGGCACGUCAUCUGGUUUUCAAGGCACCUUGGCAUCGGUAGCUUCUCGGCCGCCUCCUCGCAAGCAGACACAUAGCAGGGCCUCUGAAGAUUAAUUUGUUUUUAAAAACUCAUGCACCGUCUCAGAGCGUGGACGCCUCGGUGCUCCUGUCUGGCUUGAGCAGCAGACCCUCGUCAGUGCCACCUCAGUGCCACCUCCUUCCCCCACCAGACGGGGCCGCAACCUACAUUCGUAUUUACCGUUCUCAUUCCUGCCUUCAGACUUCUGCCGCAGUGCUGUGUUUCCCUCAGUAAUGUUACAGUAUUGUCCUGCAUGUUGCAAAACUACAUAACUAGGAACAUAUUAUGUGUUAGCAUCCUUUGCAGUUCGCUGUUUAUGUUUGUGAAUGGAGGUCAUCCACACCUGUAUUCUGGUCUGUAUGUUUUCAUUGCCAAAUGGUAUUCAGCGGGCAGAUAAACCACAGCUUUCUGUUCUCUCCUUGAUGGUAAUAUAGGUAAUUCAGAUUUAAAAAUAAUAUACCAAGUCCCUGUGCUGCCCAAGUAAACCAUCCUACCUGGGGGCCCUUACCCUCACCUCCCGUCAUACCCUGU